rnacentral:rRNA from 1 species
UACGGGGGGGGCAAGCGUUGUUCGGAAUUACUGGCGUAAAGGGCUCGUAGGCGGCCAACUAAGUCAGACGUGAAAUCCCUCGGCUUAACCGGGGGAACUGCAUCUGAUACUGGAUGGCUUGAGUUCGGGAGAGGGAUGCGGAAUUCCAGGUGUAGCGGUGAAAUGCGUAGAUAAUCUGGAGGAACACCGGUGGCGAAGGCGGCAUCCUGGACCGACACUGACGUGAGGAGCGAAAGCCAGGGGAGCAAAACCGGGGAAU